rnacentral:rRNA from 1 species
AUUGAACGCUGGCGGCAUGCCUUACACAUGCAAGUCGAACGGCAGCACGGGAGCAAUCCUGGUGGCGAGUGGCGAACGGGUGAGUAAAGUAUCGGAACGUGCCCAGUCGUGGGGGAUCACGUAGCGAAAGUUACGCUAAUACCGCAUACGAUCUACGGAUGAAAGCGGGGGAUCGCAAGACCUCGCGCGAUUGGAGCGGCUGAUAUCAGAUUAGGUAGUUGGUGGGGUAAAGGCUCACCAAGCCGACGAUCUGUAGCUGGUCUGAGAGGACGACCAGCCACACUGGGACUGAGACACGGCCCAGACUCCUACGGGAGGCAGCAGUGGGGAAUUUUGGACAAUGGGCGAAAGCCUGAUCCAGCAAUGCCGCGUGCAGGAUGAAGGCCUUCGGGUUGUAAACUGCUUUUGUACGGAACGAAAAGCCCCGGGUUAAUACCCUGGGGUCAUGACGGUACCGUAAGAAUAAGCACCGGCUAACUACGUGCCAGCAGCCGCGGUAA